rnacentral:rRNA from 1 species
AGCGUAGACGGUGUGGCAAGUCUGAUGUGAAAGGCAUGGGCUCAACCUGUGGACUGCAUUGGAAACUGUCAUACUUGAGUGCCGGAGGGGUAAGCGGAAUUCCUAGUGUAGCGGUGAAGUGCGUAGAUAUUAGGAGGAACACCAGUGGCGAAGGCGGCUUACUGGACGGUAACUGACGUUGAGGCUCGAAAGCGUGGGAGCAAACA